rnacentral:rRNA from 1 species
GAUGAACGCUGGCGGCGUGCCUAACACAUGCAAGUCGAGCGAUUCUCUUCGGAGAAGAGCGGCGGACGGGUGAGUAACGCGUGGGUAACCUGCCCUGUACACACGGAUAACAUACCGAAAGGUAUGCUAAUACGAGAUGAUAUAUAAAAGUUGCAUGACUUUUAUAUCAAAGCUUUUGCGGUACAGGAUGGACCCGCGUCUGAUUAGCUAGUUGGUAAGGUAACGGCUUACCAAGGCGACGAUCAGUAGCCGACCUGAGAGGGUGAUCGGCCACACUGGAACUGAGACACGGUCCAGACUCCUACGGGAGGCAGCAGUGGGGAAUAUUGCACAAUGGGCGAAAGCCUGAUGCAGCAACGCCGCGUGAGCGAUGAAGGCCUUCGGGUCGUAAAGCUCUGUCCUCAAGGAAGAUAAUGACGGUACUUGAGGAGGAAGCCCCGGCUAACUACGUGCCAGCAGCCGCGGUAAUACGUAGGGGGCUAGCGUUAUCCGGAAUUACUGGGCGUAAAGGGUGCGUAGGCGGUCUUUCAAGCCAGAAGUGAAAGGCUACGGCUCAACCGUAGUAAGCUUUUGGAACUGUAGGACUUGAGUGCAGGAGAGGAGAGUGGAAUUCCUAGUGUAGCGGUGAAAUGCGUAGAUAUUAGGAGGAACACCAGUAGCGAAGGCGGCUCUCUGGACUGUAACUGACGCUGAGGCACGAAAGCGUGGGGAGCAAACAGGAUUAGAUACCCUGGUAGUCCACGCCGUAAACGAUGAGUACUAGGUGUCGGGGGUUACCCCCCUCGGUGCCGCAGCUAACGCAUUAAGUACUCCGCCCGGGAAGUACGCUCGCAAGGGUGAAACUCAAAGGAAUUGACGGGGACCCGCACAAGUAGCGGAGCAUGUGGUUUAAUUCGAAGCAACGCGAAGAACCUUACCUAAGCUUGACAUCCCAUUGACCUCUCCCUAAUCGGAGAUUUCCCUUCGGGGACAGUGGUGACAGGUGGUGCAUGGUUGUCGUCAGCUCGUGUCGUGAGAUGUUGGGUUAAGUCCCGCAACGAGCGCAACCCUUGCCUUUAGUUGCCAGCAUUAAGUUGGGCACUCUAGAGGGACUGCCGAGGAUAACUCGGAGGAAGGUGGGGAUGACGUCAAAUCAUCAUGCCCCUUAUGCUUAGGGCUACACACGUGCUACAAUGGGUGGUACAGAGGGUUGCCAAACCGUGAGGUGGAGCUAAUCCCUUAAAGCCAUUCUCGGUUCGGAUUGUAGGCUGAAACUCGCCUACAUGAAGCUGGAGUUACUAGUAAUCGCAGAUCAGAAUGCUGCGGUGAAUGCGUUCCCGGGUCU